GCUCGGUUAACUCAGUGGUAGAGUGCAUCCUUCACACGGAUGAAGUCACUGGUUCAAAUCCAGUACCGAGCACCA
rnacentral:tRNA from 4 species